UUGCGCAAGCAACACGGACACACAGGAAGAGUACACAGGACUGUGUACUCUUCCUGUGUACUCUUCCUGUGUGUCCGUGUUGCUUGCGCAA
rnacentral:pre_miRNA from 1 species